rnacentral:misc_RNA from 1 species
CGCACAUUGCGCCCGCCAGUACUCUGGCGGGCAUGCCUGUCCGAGCGUCAUUUCAACCCUCAAGCCCCCGGGCUUGGUGUUGGGGAUCGGCGAACGCCGCCGUCCCCCAAAUCCAGUGGCGGUCCCGCCGAGCUUCCUCUGCGUAGUAGCAACACCUCGCACUGGAGCCUCGCGGUCCCACGCCGUAAAACACCCCACUUCUGAACGUUGACCUCGGAUCAGGUAGGACUACCCGCUGAACUUAA